CUUUGAGGGAAUUAUGCUAAGUGAAAUAAGUCAGAGGGAGAAAGUCAAAUACCAUAUGAUCUCACUCAUACAUAGAAGGAUGCAGGUCAGUUAAAGACAGAGGACAAGGAGAAGAAGAGAGGAGGAGGAAGAGGAGGAGAGAGAUGAAGCAGGGGAGAGAAGAGAAAGAAAAAACGGAAAAAAAAGAAAGGAAAGUGGAAAUGGAGGAAAGAAGAGGGAAAAGCUGAGAAGGAUAAGAAAGAAGACUUGCUGGGAAGAAUUCAGAUCUGACCUCAUGACCUCGAGAUCUGGUCACCAAUUCAGUGUUCCAUCUAACUUCUUCUCUUUUUUCCUCCUCUUUUCCCUCAGUAUUAAAGGGUCAAGAGCACGUGGUCAGUGCCUCCAUAGCACAGAAG
rnacentral:lncRNA from 1 species